UUAUACAUUGAUUUCUUUCCAUUUCCAGUCAAUCUUUGACACCAAAAUCAGAUUGUUAGCUGAUGCCUGAUGGUCCCAUUUUAGAAAGCAGUUCCACUUCUCAUCAUUGUUCUUCAAGGUCCGGCCCAAUGAAAGAGCCACCCUGAAAAGUAAGCCCAUUCCUCACAAUUGUCAACCCAAACCAAUCUGGGCCCCAUCUCACCACUUGGAGCUGCUCUGCCAACUCUUCGCUAACUGGUAGAAUUGGGUUAAAUACACAUAUGAUUUUAUUUUUGACUGUUAACCAUAAUGGAUUAAACAUGAGCCUCAUCAAAACGCAUGCUUGUGUCCCUUGCAAACAAGCACUGUAAUAUUCUGAUUCUUGACAGAAGUACAAGCCCAAAAGGGCAGAGGCUUUGACAUCAAUGGCCCAGCAAAUCUCUGUACCUGAAUCUUGGGAUUUUGUUUCCAUCAAAGGAAGAUGCUCCCUUAUCAUGCUUCUUUGAAGGGGGCAACCACAAGGAAAGAGAGUUGUUACUUUUGCUUGGAUAAACACACCUUCAAGUACUAUAGUUUCCAACUUCCAAAUGGAGGCCUCUGGAUUGACAUGUAGGCUAUGUGUCCUUUAAAGGGUUCCCAUUUCAACACGUUGGGGACAUGCCCUAGAUAGGCUAUAGCAUCAUGCCAGUCUUAAAAGCCAUGAGAUCUCCAGUCAUUUUUUUUUCAUUAACACAAACACAUCGAGUUCAUUUAUUAACAGGAAGUAGAGCAUGGAAGAUAGCUGUGGUAGUUCUUACAGUUCAUCAGGCAAGAAGGCAUCAGAGUUGGAAACACUACAGAAACUGCAUGAGGAAAAGACAAAAAAGAUUCAAGAACUGAAAGACCAAAUUGAAUCUGUGAAGCUUCACUUGGAGAGGAGGAGGAAGGAAGUUUCAGAGGAGAUGAAAGAAUCUUUCAAGAACUUGAGCAUGAAAUACAAUACCCUGAGAGAAGAAUGCAGUGCUUUGCUGGAUGAAAAGUCAAGGGAAUAGAAUAGUCUUGGUUCUCAUCGAACAUUGAGAACAAGAAUGUCUCCACGGCCUGUCCUGACUUCUUGGGAGUCCCUUGCUUUACAUGAUUGAUCAAGUUUCUAUAGUAGGUGCCUGCAUUAUUAACUGUUGCUACAUCGCCACCUUCAGAUGGCCAACCACUCUCUGAUACAACAAUUUGCAAAUUGGGGCUGCCUGCUUUCUCAAGAGCAGAAUAAAGAGAAUCCAACAAUGCAUCAAACAGAUUUUGAUAUCCAUAUUGACCAUCCGUAACCACAAUUCCUGCUUCAGUAAACAAGGCAUAUUCAAGACUGAUACUUUGUGGGUCAUUAGUAUAGCUAAAAUAAGGGUAUAUAUUUGCAAGAAGUGGUGCUCCAUUUGUGGCUAUGAAGUUGAUUUGCAGUUUCACUAAAUGAGUCAUUUGAUGGAGGGUAUGAUAUGCCCAACAAAGUUGUGUCUAUUGCUGUGGAAACCUUAAUUUGGUCUUGUAAAUUGGCUGCUACUAUUGCAUUAUGAACAUUCUGCAUCGCUGGUAAAACAUACUUUGCAUUUGCAUCUCCAGGAUGCACUUCAUUUCCUACAGCAAUGUGGCGGAAUUUGACAUCAGAUGCAUAGGCUACAACGUGUUUUGGACCCAAGUUGUUGCAGCUGAGGCAUCAGCAAGGUCUUGAAAUUUGUCAUUGGAAACACCAAGGAUGAGUUCUGUGCUUGAUCCUCUAAUAGCAUGGAGUGUUUGUUGAUCUGGGUUAUAAAUUCUCAUCCUUCCAAUACCGUUUGUCUCACAGAGGCUUACAACUUCUUGCUCAGAAGGUAAGUUAUUCCCAUUCUUUCCAUAGCAGACACCUGUGGAUUGUGCUUCUGCAAAAAAUUGAGCCAAGGCAAGAGGUGAUGAUAAGUAAGGCACUUCGACACCACAGAAAAUUGUAUAUGACUUGACAUAUAUGAAGACAUCGCAAGGAAAUAAGCAUAUGCAAUACCUGUUAUUCCAAGGGAAGAAAUCAGAAGAGCUAGAAGCAGUAAUAUUGGAGCCAUUGAAGGUGUUUGAUAUGGAAUUCUCUGCACUUGUAUCUUCCAUCUCCCGUUCUAGAUAAAAUGAAUUGGAAGGGCUUUAAGACGUCAACAGUCAAUGCCAUUUCUGCAUUAACGGAUGGAAUAGCGGAGCGUGGAACAUGUUGACCUGCCUAACCUGACGCUAUGAUUCCAAAUUCAAGGAUUACGUGAACAAGAAUUCAGCAGGCAAGACUGCUACGGCUUCUCUCUACAAGUCAAGCGGCUUGCAAGACUACACAACCCAUCUAAGGAUUACCAUGUCAAGUUGCUUUUAGCAAUUUGGCUACUUCCUACCACAAACAAAAUAUCUUUUUACCAAAUUGUAAUAUUCGAUUAGGCGACCUGUCUUCUUACUACCAGAAGUUUCAUUAGAUUCUAGAGCAUAACUGUGAAUUUAUACCAGAGUAAUUACAGUUUUAAGAAUAUCUAUAAUAAUAAUAAUUUUUGCGCCAUAA